AGAGUUUGAUCCUGGCUCAGGAUGAACGCUGGCGGCGUGCCUAAUACAUGCAAGUCGAGCGAACUGAUUAGAAGCUUGCUUCUAUGACGUUAGCGGCGGACGGGUGAGUAACACGUGGGUAACCUGCCUGUAAGACUGGGAUAACUUCGGGAAACCGAAGCUAAUACCGGAUAGGAUCUUCUCCUUCAUGGGAGAUGAUUGAAAGAUGGUUUCGGCUAUCACUUACAGAUGGGCCCGCGGUGCAUUAGCUAGUUGGUGAGGUAACGGCUCACCAAGGCAACGAUGCAUAGCCGACCUGAGAGGGUGAUCGGCCACACUGGGACUGAGACACGGCCCAGACUCCUACGGGAGGCAGCAGUAGGGAAUCUUCCGCAAUGGACGAAAGUCUGACGGAGCAACGCCGCGUGAGUGAUGAAGGCUUUCGGGUCGUAAAACUCUGUUGUUAGGGAAGAACAAGUACGAGAGUAACUGCUCGUACCUUGACGGUACCUAACCAGAAAGCCACGGCUAACUACGUGCCAGCAGCCGCGGUAAUACGUACGUGGCAAGCGUUAUCCGGAAUUAUUGGGCGUAAAGCGCGCGCAGGCGGUUUCUUAAGUCUGAUGUGAAAACCCACGGCUCAACCCGUGGAGGGUCAUUG
rnacentral:rRNA from 1 species